rnacentral:rRNA from 1 species
UAAGUAAGCUUUGAUCCAGAGAUUUCCGAAUGGGGAAACCCAGCAUGAGUUAUGUCAUGUUAUCGAUAUGUGAAUACAUAGCAUAUCAGAAGGCACACCCGGAGAACUGAAACAUCUUAGUACCCGGAGGAAGAGAAAGAAAAUUCGAUUCCCUUAGUAGCGGCGAGCGAAACGGGAAGAGCCCAAACCAACAAGCUUGCUUGUUGGGGUUGUAGGACACUCUAUACGGAGUUACAAAGGACGACAUUAGACGAAUCAUCUGGAAAGAUGAAUCAAAGAAGGUAAUAAUCCUGUAGUCGAAAAUGUUGUCUCUCUUGAGUGGAUCCUGAGUACGACGGAGCACGUGAAAUUCCGUCGGAAUCUGGGAGGACCAUCUCCUAAGGCUAAAUACUCUCUAGUGACCGAUAGUGAACCAGUACCGUGAGGGAAAGGUGAAAAGCACCCCGGAAGGGGAGUGAAAUAGAACCUGAAACCGUGUGCUUACAAGUAGUCAGAGCCCGUUAAUGGGUGAUGGCGUGCCUUUUGUAGAAUGAACCGGCGAGUUACGAUUUGAUGCAAGGUUAAGCAGUAAAUGUGGAGCCGUAGCGAAAGCGAGUCUGAAUAGGGCGUUUAGUAUUUGGUCGUAGACCCGAAACCAGGUGAUCUACCCUUGGUCAGGUUGAAGUUCAGGUAACACUGAAUGGAGGACCGAACCGACUUACGUUGAAAAGUGAGCGGAUGAACUGAGGGUAGCGGAGAAAUUCCAAUCGAACCUGGAGAUAGCUGGUUCUCUCCGAAAUAGCUUUAGGGCUAGCCUCAAGUGAUGAUUAUUGGAGGUAGAGCACUGUUUGGACGAGGGGCCCCUCUCGGGUUACCGAAUUCAGACAAACUCCGAAUGCCAAUUAAUUUAACUUGGGAGUCAGAACAUGGGUGAUAAGGUCCGUGUUCGAAAGGGAAACAGCCCAGACCACCAGCUAAGGUCCCAAAAUAUAUGUUAAGUGGAAAAGGAUGUGGCGUUGCCCAGACAACUAGGAUGUUGGCUUAGAAGCAGCCAUCAUUUAAAGAGUGCGUAAUAGCUCACUAGUCGAGUGACACUGCGCCGAAAAUGUACCGGGGCUAAACAUAUUACCGAAGCUGUGGAUUGUCCUUUGGACAAUGGUAGGAGAGCGUUCUAAGGGCGUUGAAGCAUGAUCGCAAGGACAUGUGGAGCGCUUAGAAGUGAGAAUGCCGGUGUGAGUAGCGAAAGACGGGUGAGAAUCCCGUCCACCGAUUGACUAAGGUUUCCAGAGGAAGGCUCGUCCGCUCUGGGUUAGUCGGGUCCUAAGCUGAGGCCGACAGGCGUAGGCGAUGGAUAACAGGUUGAUAUUCCUGUACCACCUAUAAUCGUUUUAAUCGAUGGGGGGACCCAGUAGGAUAGGCGAAGCGUGCGAUUGGAUUGCACGUCUAAGCAGUAAGGCUGAGUAUUAGGCAAAUCCGGUACUCGUUAAGGCUGAGCUGUGAUGGGGAGAAGACAUUGUGUCUUCGAGUCGUUGAUUUCACACUGCCGAGAAAAGCCUCUAGAUAGAAAAUAGGUGCCCGUACCGCAAACCGACACAGGUAGUCAAGAUGAGAAUUCUAAGGUGAGCGAGCGAACUCUCGUUAAGGAACUCGGCAAAAUGACCCCGUAACUUCGGGAGAAGGGGUGCUCUUUAGGGUUAACGCCCAGAAGAGCCGCAGUGAAUAGGCCCAAGCGACUGUUUAUCAAAAACACAGGUCUCUGCUAAACCGUAAGGUGAUGUAUAGGGGCUGACGCCUGCCCGGUGCUGGAAGGUUAAGAGGAGUGGUUAGCUUCUGCGAAGCUACGAAUCGAAGCCCCAGUAAACGGCGGCCGUAACUAUAACGGUCCUAAGGUAGCGAAAUUCCUUGUCGGGUAAGUUCCGACCCGCACGAAAGGCGUAACGAUUUGGGCACUGUCUCAACGAGAGACUCGGUGAAAUCAUAGUACCUGUGAAGAUGCAGGUUACCCGCGACAGGACGGAAAGACCCCGUGGAGCUUUACUGUAGCCUGAUAUUGAAAUUCGGCACAGCUUGUACAGGAUAGGUAGGAGCCUUUGAAACGUGAGCGCUAGCUUACGUGGAGGCGCUGGUGGGAUACUACCCUAGCUGUGUUGGCUUUCUAACCCGCACCACUUAUCGUGGUGGGAGACAGUGUCAGGCGGGCAGUUUGACUGGGGCGGUCGCCUCCUAAAAGGUAACGGAGGCGCUCAAAGGUUCCCUCAGAAUGGUUGGAAAUCAUUCAUAGAGUGUAAAGGCAUAAGGGAGCUUGACUGCGAGACCUACAAGUCGAGCAGGGUCGAAAGACGGACUUAGUGAUCCGGUGGUUCCGCAUGGAAGGGCCAUCGCUCAACGGAUAAAAGCUACCCCGGGGAUAACAGGCUUAUCUCCCCCAAGAGUUCACAUCGACGGGGAGGUUUGGCACCUCGAUGUCGGCUCAUCGCAUCCUGGGGCUGUAGUCGGUCCCAAGGGUUGGGCUGUUCGCCCAUUAAAGCGGUACGCGAGCUGGGUUCAGAACGUCGUGAGACAGUUCGGUCCCUAUCCGUCGUGGGCGUAGGAAAUUUGAGAGGAGCUGUCCUUAGUACGAGAGGACCGGGAUGGACAUACCUCUGGUGUACCAGUUGUCGUGCCAACGGCAUAGCUGGGUAGCUAUGUGUGGACGGGAUAAGUGCUGAAAGCAUCUAAGCAUGAAGCCCCCCUCAAGAUGAGAUUUCCCAACUUCGGUUAUAAGAUCCCUCAAAGAUGAUGAGGUUAAUAGGUUCGAGGUGGAAGCAUGGUGACAUGUGGAGCUGACGAAUACUAAUCGAUCGAAGACUUAAUCAA